rnacentral:rRNA from 1 species
AGAGUUUGAUCCUGGCUCAGGAUGAACGCUGACAGAAUGCUUAACACAUGCAAGUCAACUUGACUGGUUUUCGGAUCAGUUGGGUGGCGCACGGGUGAGUAACGCGUGAAGAACUUGCCUUUUAGCCUGGGACAACUACUAGAAAUGGUAGCUAAUACCGGAUAGUAUCAUCGUAUGGCAUCAUAUGAUGAUGAAAGAUACAUUCGCUAAAAGAGAGCUUCGCGUCCCAUUAGCUAGUUGGUAGUGUAAUGGACUACCAAGGUGACGAUGGGUAGCCGGCCUGAGAGGGUGGACGGCCACAAGGGGACUGAGACACGGCCCUUACUCCUACGGGAGGCAGCAGUGGGGAAUAUUGGACAAUGGGCCACGAGCCUGAUCCAGCAAUUCUGUGUGAAUGAAGAAGGCUUUCGGGUCGUAAAGUUCUUUCGGCAGGGAAGAAGAAAGUGACGGUACCUGCAUAAGAAGCGACGGCUAAUUACGUGCCAGCAGCCGCGGUAAUACGUAAGUCGCAAGCGUUAUCCGGAUUUACUGGGCGUAAAGGGCGUCUAGGCGGUUUGAUAAGUCAGAGGUGAAAAGUCAGGGCUCAACCUUGGCCUGGCCUUUGAAACUGUUAGACUAGAGUACGGAAGAGGAGGGUGGAACUACAAGUGUAGCGGUGGAAUGCGUAGAUAUUUGUAGGAAUGCCGAUGAUGAAGAUAGCCCUCUGGGACGAUACUGACGCUAAAGCGCGAAAGCUAGGGUAGCAAACAGGAUUAGAUACCCUGGUAGUCCUAGCUGUAAACGAUGAAUACUGGGUGUUUGCGGUAAUACCGUAAGCGCCGAAGCUAACGCAUUAAGUAUUCCGCCUGGGGAGUACGGUCGAAAGACUA